CAGGGUGUAACGUAGUGGUUUAGCGUGCGAGUUUUGGGUACUCGAAGUCGUUGGUUCAAAUCCAACCACUCUGA
rnacentral:tRNA from 1 species